UGCUGGGAAUGAAGUUCUCCCUUCGCGCGCCGCGCGAGAACCGCCACAGGCUGAUGACUUCUGCGAU
rnacentral:ncRNA from 1 species